rnacentral:rRNA from 1 species
UACGAAGGGGGCUAGCGUUGCUCGGAAUCACUGGGCGUAAAGGGUGCGUAGGCGGGUCUUUAAGUCGGGGGUGAAAACCUGGAGCUCAACUCCAGAACUGCCUUUGAUACUGAAGAUCUUGAGUUCGGGAGAGGUGAGUGGAACUGCGAGUGUAGAGGUGAAAUUCGUAGAUAUUCGCAAGAACACCAGUGGCGAAGGCGGCUCACUGGCCCGAUACUGACGCUGAGGCACGAAAGCGUGGGGAGCAAACAGG